GAUGAAGAACGUAGUGAAAUGCGAUAAGUAAUGUGAAUUGCAGAAUUCAGUGAAUCAUCGAAUCUUUGAACGCAUCUUGCGCUCCUUGGUAUUCUGAGGAGCAUGCCUGUUUGAGUGUCAUUAAAUUCUCAACUACACUGACUUUGAAUUGGUGUGGCUUGGAUUUGGGGGGAAAAUUGUUGUGGGCUUUUUGUAUAGUCUGCUCCCCUGAAAUUGAUUAGCGGUACCUUUGUGGAACUGUCUACAGGUGUAAUAAUUAUCUACAUCUUAGACAUCUGCUGGAAUGCUGCUUUCUAAACCUUACUUGUAUUGACAAUCUUGACCUCAAAUCAGGUAGGACUACCCGCUGAACUUAAGCAUAUCAAUAAGCGGAGGA
rnacentral:misc_RNA from 1 species